GAUGAACGCUGGCGGCGUGCCUAAUACAUGCAAGUCGAGCGAACAGACGAGGAGCUUGCUCCUCUGACGUUAGCGGCGGACGGGUGAGUAACACGUGGAUAACCUACCUAUAAGACUGGGAUAACUUCGGGAAACCGGAGCUAAUACCGGAUAAUAUAUUGAACCGCAUGGUUCAAUAGUGAAAGACGGUUUUGCUGUCACUUAUAGAUGGAUCCGCGCCGCAUUAGCUAGUUGGUAAGGUAACGGCUUACCAAGGCGACGAUGCGUAGCCGACCUGAGAGGGUGAUCGGCCACACUGGAAUUGAGACACGGUCCAGACUCCUACGGGAGGCAGCAGUAGGGAAUCUUCCGCAAUGGGCGAAAGCCUGACGGAGCAACGCCGCGUGAGUGAUGAAGGUCUUCGGAUCGUAAAACUCUGUUAUUAGGGAAGAACAAAUGUGUAAGUAACUAUGCACGUCUUGACGGUACCUAAUCAGAAAGCCACGGCUAACUACGU
rnacentral:rRNA from 1 species